rnacentral:lncRNA from 1 species
AAGUUUUCAAAAUAUAAUGCGUUUGCAAAAAUAUAUACUCCAUAAUUCUAAGGGAUAAUUGCCUAUAUACCCCUUAUACGUUUGAAUAUAUCCGAUUUACCCCUACUUUUUUAUUUCUUUCUAAGAUACCCCUCAUAUGCUCCACCGUUAUUCCAAAAUACUCCCACAGUUAUCCCCUGUUAAACUAAUUCGAGUUAAACAUGGGUUAAAUGUAUACCAGAGUUAAAGCCUAAUUAAAAUACCUAUUUUGUCCCUACCUUAUUAAACUAUUCUUUUAAGUUAUCCUCUCUUUCUCUCCCAACUUAUCAUCUCUUUCUCUCCCAACUUGGGUCCCCGCCGGCCGCCACCCGCCCACCGUGAGCGCCAGCAGCUCACCACCACCACCAACCUCGGUGCCGACUCCUCCGCCUCCACCUCCACCUCCGCCCCCAAGAAGCCUCGCCUCAUUCGCACAAAAAAAAACGGCCCACGAGUCGCCGCUCUCGUCGUCGUCGUCCUCCUCCUCCACCGCCUUGGCCGGCACCGGGAGAAAGAGGGCCGCAACGAUUCGUGCAAAUCUGAUGACUAAUUCAUUAUAGUUAAUUUCUCUAUCCCAAAUCCCAAAUUAAUUAAUGUACAGCACCCUCCUCCUCCUCCUCCUCCUUCUCUCUUGCCGCCGCCCACCACUACCACCUCCCUCUCUC